rnacentral:rRNA from 1 species
CCUACGGGAGGCAGCAGUGGGGAAUCUUGCGCAAUGGGCGAAAGCCUGACGCAGCAACGCCGCGUGCGGGAAGAAGGCUUUCGGGCUGUAAACCGCUUUCAGCAGGAACGAAAAUGACGGUACCUGCAGAAGAAGGAGCGGCCAACUAUGUGCCAGCAGCCGCGGUGAUACAUAGGCUUCAAGCGUUGUCCGGAUUUAUUGGGCGUAAAGAGUUCGUAGGCGGUCGAGUAAGUCGGGUGUGAAAAUUCUGGGCUCAACCCAGAGACGCCACCCGAUACUGCUUAACUUGAGUUCGAUAGGGGAGUGGGGAAUUCCUAGUGUAGCGGUGAAAUGCGCAGAUAUUAGGAGGAACACCGGUGGCGAAGGCGCCACUCUGGAUCGAUACUGACGCUGAGGAACGAAAGCAUGGGUAGCAAACAGGAUUAGAUACCCUGGUAGUCCAUGCCGUAAACGGUGGGCACUAGGUGUGGGAUUCUAUUAACGAAUUCCGCGCCGUCGCUAACGCAUUAAGUGCCCCGCCUGGGGAGUACGGUCGCAAGACUAAAACUCAAAGAUAGUAGCGNGNGAGAGCGACGACGACGACGACGGAGGAG